AAGUCGUAACAAGGUUUCCGUAGGUGAACCUGCGGAAGGAUCAUUAACACGUAUCCAACGUUAAACAACCCUGUGAACUUUCAGCGCUCUUGUAGCCCCAGAGGAACAGCAAUCCCGGUAAAUCAAAUGGCGGAAAGAGUUUUGAUUCGGGACCUCUGUCCAAAAGGUAUCAAGUUAGAAGGAUCCACUGAGUAAGGAUAACGCAUCACGGUUGCCAGAGGUCGAUCACCGGCCGGCAGACAUGUCACAGGGCUUUACGCCCCUUCAUUCACCCCUUGCCUAAUCAAGCCUCGCGGAAACGCCGGGCAUAAAAACCGAACAACUGUUAACAAUGGAUAUCUUGGUUCUC
rnacentral:misc_RNA from 1 species